rnacentral:lncRNA from 1 species
GACAGUCUUCACAAUUAUUCUUUUGUGCUUUGGUCUCUCCUACCUUUCGCCCACUGCCUAUUGUAUAGACAAAGGGUUGGAUUGUCAUCGAUGCGUAUCCUGAAAGGUUUAAGGGCAGUGCUCUUAGUUCUGUAACUAAUUUUGUUAAAAGUUGUGGCUUAUGAGCAACCCGGAUAGUUUGAAUCUUGUUUGCAGUUGAUAAAUAGCAAAGGAACUAAAAAAUUACUUAGAUUAGCCUUUAUUAUUAGCAAUGACUCGUGGAAAACAAAAUGACCAAUUCAGGACAUAUCAAUGACGCCGUUUCUGUCAUGACCAGUAGAGGAGAUAGUUCAGUACUUCUCAAUCUCCUCUGCACCUCUCCCGGGGAUUCUCCCAGCUAUAAGCAAUAAGCGACCACCUGAUGAUGAAAAAUGAUAACCACCAAUUAUCAUUAAUUUUGUUAUUAUUGCCUACGUUCGGGUAGACUUUAGCAAAUGUAAAAACAGUAAAUAUGAACAUGGAACAUGAGAUGACGAAACCUCUCUCCAGUCAAUUUGUACAUGAUUAUCAACUCUUGUUCAUCCUCAGAGAAAUUAGUUUUAGCUAUCUUUCCUGAAACAAGCCAACAACCAUUGGAGGACUACAAUGGAACAGGUAACAACAGAAAAACAGAGAAAAAACGAUUUAAAAAUGAAGGAGAGUUUAUAUGUAGGUACCCAGAAUUAGCAGGAAUGUAAUUAAUGGAAGAGAGGUGAUCUGAAUCUGGCACUUUGAGUUGAAUGCAGGCCAGAAUAUUGUUGACUAGGGGAGCUAAGUAUAUAUAAGCCUAUGCUUAAGGUUAUAUUAUAGUUUAAAUUUUUUGGUCCUUUGUGUACGUCCCCUUAG